GUAAUCCAUGACAAAAACCUCAUGACUAUCUCAAUAGAUGCAGAUAAGGCCUUUGAUACAAUUCAACACUGAUUUAUGCUAAAAACUCUCAAUAAACUAGGUAUUAAUGGAACAUGUCUCAAAAUAAUAAGAGCUAAACUCACAGCCAG